rnacentral:lncRNA from 1 species
GUUUAUUGUAGAAGUCAGUAUCUCUGUUACUAUCAAAGUUAUUGACUUGAAACUUGAAAUAGUUAUUAGCUAUCAACAGUGUACACUUGGACAAACAAUCCCCAUAACUUUCUUGGAAAGUUGUCAGAGUUAUGCCACUUUUUAAAUUAGAAUGUUUGUUUUAAGUUACUACUGGCAAAGCUCUAAUUUUGAGUCAAGCACUGAGAAAAGUUGAGCGCACUGACUCUUUCGGACAGCUCUUGUUAGCUUAACUGUUCAAAGAAGAGUCUUAGUUAUUCUGCUUACCCAGGCAUUGGCGUCAGUGUCUCACCUUGGUUAACUGCAUGCAAGUACAUAUGGCUAUCAUUUAAAGGCAUAUUUUUGUACUUUUUUUGCUUAUUAUUUCUUGUUCUAUGUCAAUUACCAACCUCCGUAUAUAAGGUCAUGGUCUAAUAAAACUGACAUGUUAUUUGGCCAAAUUACGCCCCCUUUUGGACUUAAAAAAAUCCUGGUUAAAGUUUAAACAUGCAAGUUACUAUCUCCAAAACUAAUGCUGAUAUUGAAUUGAAACUUCACAUGUGUCUUCUGGGUUAUAAAACAAGGUGAUAGCAUCAAGUCCCAUAACUCUGACCUGCAUUUUGACCAAAUUAUGCCCCUUUAAAACUCCUGGUUAAAAUUUUGCAUGCAAGUAUAUCUAGCUACUAAACAAUAAUAGCAUAUAAAGCUUUGAAACUGUUUUUUUUACUUUUUCUAGGUCAAUUUCCAACCAUACUGGGUCAAGUCACAUAGUAUGCCUCUGAAUUGUUUGUAUUUUGGGCAGAUUUUGUCCACUUUUGGACAUGGAAAGUCCUGCUAAUUUAACUGUCUCCAAAAGCAGACAUUGAAUUGAAAUUUCACAUGUGUCUUUAGGGUUAUAAAACAAGGUGAUAGCAUCAAGUCUUGUAAGUCUGACAUGCAUUUUGGACAAAUUAUGCCCACUUUUGUGCUUAGAAAAUCCGAUUUAAAGUUUUAAAUGCACCUCACUAUCUCCAAAACUAAUAAUGCAGAUAUUGGUUUAAAAGUCUAGAUAUCUCAACUUUCAGGGUAAUAUUCCUGCUUCUGGGACGUAACAAUUGAAUAGUCAAGCAUUGGCUGUCUUACGUACACGUGCUCUUGUCAAAGGUUUUCUUAAGUGCCAUGUACUUGGCGCUGCAGAUAGUUCUACCAAUAAAGUCAUUGAUAGAUAUUUAAUUCCCAGUUACUGGAAGAACAGUAUGUCAAUGCAAAAAAAGUUGUCAAAUACAUGCAUAUUGUAUAUGACAUAAGAAAAUGUAAUAAAAGUGUACUAAAAUAAAUUCAGAUUCUCUUUUUAAGCUUAAAUUUAAGUACAUGUACAAUGCUGUUUCUACCAUAUCGCACAUUGUAUAUAAAACGGUUUAACCAAGAAAGACUGUGAAAAUGAACAAUAGAAUGAAAUGACUAAACACUAACUUUUUAACUGUAAAGGUGUUUCAUUCUUCCUCAUACAGGUGUAUACAUAAGUACAAGGUAAUUGAUUAAUCUCUAGUACUAUGUCUACAAUGUCUAAGCAAUGUCAAGAACAAUAAACAAUUUAUUUCAGGCUGACAAGUCUAUGAUUGGUGAUCUACACCUUCUUCAUAACCCAAGUUUUUUCUGAUGUCUGCCAUCAUUCCAGUUGACUCUCACAGUGGUGAACUAUAACAGCUGUCAGAAUGGGAACCAGAACAAUUACCUCAGUGAAAGCCAAAACAUUUUCAUUGUUCAACAAACCAAUGCAAAUCAUGUGACACUUGCUGAGAGUGCAUGUUCAUUCAGCAGACAGUUGGUAAAGGACCAUAAAAAUAAACACAAAGCAAGGAAGGAAGGCUUGAGAGCAGAGACUUUCAUUAUUUCCAUGCAUGGAAACUAAAAUGAUGACGGUCCUUGUGUAGAGAUCUAGGCACUUUGUUCCCAAGGUGAUGUGAAAUGGUGCAAAGUGUUGUGUAUGUCUUCUGCCUUCGUUCUACUAAACCACUACUGCAUGGAUCUUCAGUAUCUUCAAUUAGUAC